rnacentral:rRNA from 1 species
CCCAGANUCNUANGGGAGGCAGCAAGNGGAGNAUCUNGCGCAAUGCGAGANAGNGUGACGCAGCAACGCCGNGUGGGGGAAGACGGCCUUCGGGUNGUAAACCCCUUUCAANUGGGACGAAGAUCGGGCCGUUAAUAGCGGUUCCGGCNGACGGUACCUUCACAAGAAGCCCCGGCUAANUACGNGCCAGCAGCCGCGGUAAUACGUAGGGGGCAAGCGUUGUCCGGAAUCAUUGGGCGUAAAGAGCGUGUAGGCGGCCCGAUAAGUCCGCUGUGAAAGUCGAGGGCUCAACCCUCGAAUGCCGGCGGAUACUGUCGGGCUAGAGUCCGGAAGAGGCGAGUGGAAUUCCUGGUGUAGCGGUGAAAUGCGCAGAUAUCAGGAGGAACACCGAUGGCGAAGGCAGCUNCGCUGGGACGGUAA